rnacentral:rRNA from 1 species
GAACUUAAGCAUAUCAAUAAGCGGAGGAAAAGAAACUAACAAGGAUUCCCCUAGUAACUGCGAGUGAAGCGGGAAAAGCUCAAAUUUAAAAUCUGGUGGUCCCGAGUUGGCUGCCCGAGUUGUAAUCUAGAGAAGUGCUUUCCGCGCUGGACCGUGUACAAGUCUCUUGGAACGGAGCGUCGUAGAGGGUGACAAUCCCGUCUUUGACACGGACUGCCAGGGCUUAUGUGAUGCGCUCUCGAAGAGUCGAGUUGUUUGGGAAUGCAGCUCAAAAUGGGUGGUAAAUUCCAUCUAAAGCUAAAUAUGGGCGAGAGGCCGAUAGCGAACAAGUACCGUGAGGGAAAGAUGAAAAGAACUUUGAAAAGAGAGUUAAACAGUACGUGAAAUUGUUGAAAGGGAAACGAUUCAAGUCAGUCGCGUUGGCCGGUAAUCAACCCUUGCGAAGGCGGGGGCUUACUUUCCGUCUGACGGGUCAGCAUCAAUUUUGACCGUCAGAUAAAGGUUUGGGGAACGUGGCAUCUUCGGAUGUGUUAUAGCCCCUUGUCAGAUGUGACGGUUGGGAUUGAGGAACUUGGCACGCCCGCAAAGGGUCGGGGCUUUUUGCCCACGUAACGUGCUUUGGAUGCUGGCAUAAUGGCUUGAACCGACCCGUCUUGAAACACGGACCAAGGAGUCUAACAUGCCUGCGAGUGUUUGGGUGGCAAACUCGAGCGCGAAGUGAAAGUGAAACUUGUCGAGAUCUCUGUCGUGGGGAGCACCGACGCCCGGACCUGACCUUUUGUGAAGGAUCCGCGGUUGAGCAUGCAUGUUGGGACCCGAAA